AGCUUUGCACAGUGGCAGUAUCGUAGCCAGUGAGGUUUAUCCGAGGCGUGAUUAUCGCUAAUUGAAAAAUUUUCCCAAUACACCACCAGGAGACUUGAAAUAUAGUCACCAUUAGCAAUUUUUGACAGUCUCUACAGAC
ensembl:snRNA U4 U4 spliceosomal RNA